rnacentral:rRNA from 1 species
GACGAACGCUGGCGGCGUGCCUAAUACAUGCAAGUAGAACGCUGAAGACUUUAGCUUGCUAAAGUUGGAAGAGUUGCGAACGGGUGAGUAACGCGUAGGUAACCUGCCUACUAGCGGGGGCUAACUAUUGGAAACGAUAGCUAAUACCGCAUAACAGCAUUUAACCCAUGUUAGAUGCUUGAAAGGAGCAAUUGCUUCACUAGUAGAUGGACCUGCGUUGUAUUAGCUAGUUGGUGAGGUAACGGCUCACCAAGGCGACGAUACAUAGCCGACCUGAGAGGGUGAUCGGCCACACUGGGACUGAGACACGGCCCAGACUCCUACGGGAGGCAGCAGUAGGGAAUCUUCGGCAAUGGGGGCAACCCUGACCGAGCAACGCCGCGUGAGUGAAGAAGGUUUUCGGAUCGUAAAGCUCUGUUGUAAGAGAAGAACGUGUGUGAGAGUGGAAAGUUCACACAGUGACGGUAACUUACCAGAAAGGGACGGCUAACUACGUGCCAGCCGCCGCCGUAACAC